CCAACUCCCGGAGUGUGACGGGCGGGGAGUACAAAGAUCAAGUACAUAUUCACCGUGGCGUACUUAUCCACGAUUACUAGCGAUUCCAACUUCAUGUUUUCGAGUUGCAGAAAACAAUCUGAAUUAAAAUGGAUUUUAAGCUUUCGCUCCUACUUACAUAAUCGCUUGCUUUUGUUUCCACUAUUGUAACACGUGUGUAGCCCAGUUUAUAAGGGCCAUGACGACUUGACGUCAUCCUCACCUUCCUCCAGUAUAUCACUGGCAGU
rnacentral:rRNA from 1 species